AUUAUGCUUAAUGUCCCGACUUUACUGUCAGCUUCAGCUUAAAUUAUACAUGCAAGUAUCCGCACCCCUGUGAAAACGCCCUUAAUCCUCCACCCUAGGACGAGGAGCCGGCAUCAGGCACAGCACUAACGCUAGCCCAAGACGCCUCGCCACCGCCACACCCCCAAGGGAACUCAGCAGUAAUAAACAUUAAGCCAUAAGUGAAAACUUGACUUAAUUAGAGCUAUUUAGGGUUGGUAAAAUUCGUGCCAGCCGCCGCGGUUAGACGAUGGACCCUAGUUGACAGAGACGGCGUAAAGGGUGGUUAGGGGUAAUAAAAAAUAAAGUUAAACACUCUCCCAGCUGUUAUAAGCACUAUGAGAACACGAAACCCACCCACGAAAGUGACUUUACCCCCUCCUGACCCCACGAAAGCUAAGAAACAAACUGGGAUUAGAUACCCCACUAUGCUUAGCCUUAAACCUAGAUAUUAACACUACAAAAAUAUCCGCCAGGGUACUACAAGCGCUAGCUUAAAACCCAAAGGACUUGACGGUGUCUCAGACCCACCUAGAGGAGCCUGUCUAGACGAUACUCCCCGUUAACCUCAUCAUCCCUUGUUUUCGCAGCCUAUAUACCGCCGUCGCAAGCUUACCCCCUGAGGGAUAAACAGUAAGCAAAAUGGAUAUAACCCCCCAGAACGUCAGGUCGAGGUGUAGCUCACGGGAUGAGAAGAGAUGGGCUACAUUUUCUAAUUUAGAAUAAACGAAUGGCAUCAUGAAAUUGAUACCUGAAGGUGGAUUUAGUAGUAAAAAUCAAAUAGAGAGUCAUUUUGAACCAGGCUCUGAGAUGCGCACACACCGCCCGUCGCCCUCCCCUAAAGAAUUCAGAAAUGUAAAUAACCAAAUAACUCACCAAACGGGGAGAUAAGUCGUAACAUGGUAAGUGUACCGGAAGGUGUACUUGGAACAUC
rnacentral:ncRNA from 1 species